rnacentral:rRNA from 1 species
AACGAACGCUGGCGGCGUGGAUAAGACAUGCAAGUCGAACGAGAACUUUUUGAAGCUUGCUUUUAAAAGUUCUAGUGGCGAACGGGUGAGUAACACGUGAGCAACCUGCCUGGAAGCGGGGGAUAGCCUGGGGAAACUCGGAUUAAUACCGCAUGUGGUCAUACAGGACAUCCUGUUAUGAUUAAAGGCGCCUUCGGGUGUCGCUUCCAGAUGGGCUCGCGGCCUAUCAGCUUGUUGGUGAGGUAACGGCUCACCAAGGCGAUGACGGGUAGUUGGUCUGAGAGGAUGGUCAACCACACUGGAACUGAGACACGGUCCAGACACCUACGGGUGGCAGCAGUCGAGAAUCAUUCACAAUGGGCGAAAGCCUGAUGGUGCGACGCCGCGUGGAGGAUGAAGGCCCUAGGGUUGUAAACUCCUGUCAUCAGGGAGUAAAGCAUCGGUCAAGACAACGGUCCGAUGCCUGAUAGUACCUGAAGAGGAAGAGACGGCUAACUCUGUGCCAGCCGCCGCCGUAACAC